GACUUCUCCAGCAAUGUUCAGCACCUUGGUCCUCAGAAGGCUGGCAGUCUCCAGGCUAGAUAUGGAGCUGGGGAUGGGAGACUCAAAGAACAGCCUUCUUUGAGUAACCUAACCAGUCAAAGAGAAAAGACACAGAGAUACUGAUGUUGCUGAUUGUGACCCUUCUGCCAUGAAGCCCCCAGCCCCACUCAUGCUCUUUCAAGUCUCUGGUUGGCUUUUUAAUAUCCUUCUCUUAAAUACAUGCUGACAGCCCAAGAUUGGCAGAUACUUGAAGAAAGACUCUACCUAAAUGAUGCAGACCAAAACUAAUCAACAGUGAAACAGGGAAUUUGUAGAAAAC
rnacentral:lncRNA from 1 species